CGCGCUGCUUAACGAGCCGAACACGAGCUGUUCACGAACAAGAGCCAAAUUGACAGCCCUAAGUACAAAGGUCUCUGAAACUCUGUCGGUAUGUCUCCGCUCCUAUCCGACUAACCGUCAUCUUUCUCUUCAUUCUUUCCACCCCCUUUAGCGCGCUUCAGCUUCUAUCCUGCAUUUCCAGCAUUAGAGUUGUCAUUUUUGUUGUUUGACCGCCAAACGGCCCCCGAAGGAUCCGGCAUAAGGCAUUGCCUUCCAAAUGAGGUGCAGGAAGGUUAUGAAAAGCAUGUUUACAGGGAAUUUCAAUUGACUGAGCUGAAUAGAAGCAAUAAAGAGAAGAAGAGGAAACGGAGGGACUCAGUUGUGGAGGGGUUCAAUGUUUUCAAAAGCUCUAAGUCUCUCAAAACCAGUGAUGCAAGAUCAAAUUUGGAAGAUGAUUCUGUACUACAUAGAAAGGAAGUAGAGAAGCAGAUAGAGGUCGGUCUGGAAGAGCUGGGAGAUGUGGUGAGGCUAUAACAUUGUUUACUGAAGAGGAUAAACCAUUCCUAAGGAACAUAGCUAAUGUGAUGAAAGAGUCAGGCUGUGAGUUUCCAGAUUGGAUCCUAAGCUUGCCCAAGCUCAAGAGGAAGAAGCACAGACCAAUGAGAAAUUCUGUAGGAGCCGAACCUGUUGACACUGAAGAUCAUUAAGCUGUCUCCUCAAUUUCUUUCUGAUGUAGUCAGCAUUUUAAGUUACAUGUAACAAUUAUAAUUUUCCUGGAUUCAUUAAUUGAAUCAUUUCUCAAAUGAAAGUGUCAUCUUUUUGGGUGAUAAGAAGACAUUUGAACUAACAGCUAACUUUUCAAGAUAAUCCUUUGUAGCAUC